UCCGAGUUGACCCCGGCAGUCUCCUAUGAGUCCCCACCAUCCCGAAGGCACCAAUCCAUCUCUGGAAAGUUCUCGACAUGUCAAGGCCAGGUAAGGUUCUUCGCGUUGCAUCGAAUUAAACCACAUACUCCACCGCUUGUGCGGGCCCCCGUCAAUUCCUUUGAGUUUCAGUCUUGCGACCGUACUCCCAGGCGGCGAACUUAACGCGUUAGCUUCGAUACUGCGUGCCAAAUUGCACCCAACAUCCAGUUCGCAUCGUUUAGGGCGUGGACUAC
rnacentral:misc_RNA from 1 species